rnacentral:rRNA from 1 species
GUGGGGAAUCUUGCGCAAUGGGCGAAAGCCUGACGCAGCCAUGCCGCGUGAAUGAUGAAGGUCUUAGGAUUGUAAAAUUCUUUCACCGGGGACGAUAAUGACGGUACCCGGAGAAGAAGCCCCGGCUAACUUCGUGCCAGCAGCCGCGGUAAUACGAAGGGGGCUAGCGUUGCUCGGAAUUACUGGGCGGAAAGGGCGCGUAGGCGGACAGUUUAGUCAGAGGUGAAAGCCCAGGGCUCAACCUUGGAAUUGCCUUUGAUACUGGCUGUCUUGAGUACGGGAGAGGUGAGUGGAACUCCGAGUGUAGAGGUGAAAUUCGUAGAUAUUCGGAAGAACACCAGUGGCGAAGGCGACUCACUGGCCCGUUACUGACGCUGAGGCGCGAAAGCGUGGGGAGCAAACAGGAUUAGAUACCCUGGUAGUCC